AGCUCCAAUAGCGUAUAUUAAAGUUGUUGCAGUUAAAAAGCUCGUAGUUGGAUUUCGGGACGGGCCGGCCGGUCCGCCGCAAGGCGAGUCACUGACCGGGCUGUUCUUCUUGGCAAGGACUGCAUGUGCUCUUAACUGAGUGUGUGGUAGGACUUGUGACGUUUACUUUGAAAAAAUUAGAGUGUUCAAAGCAGGCCAGCGCUUGAAUACAUAAGCAUGGAAUAAUGGAAUAGGACUUUGGUUCUAUUUUGUUGGUUUCUGGAACCGAAGUAAUGAUUAAAAGGGACAGUUGGGGGCAUUCGUAUUUCGUUGUCAGAGGUGAAAUUCUUGGAUUUACGAAAGACGAACUACUGCGAAAGCAUUUGCCAAGAAUGUUUUCA
rnacentral:rRNA from 1 species